AUCCAGUUGACGCGUCCCAAAUAGGACGAAACGUGUGUCCUGGAU
rnacentral:hammerhead_ribozyme from 1 species